UAAAGAUUCAUCGCUGAUAGAUAGGCAUGCGUUCCAUUAGGCAGUUGGCGGGGUAACGGCCCACCAAACCGACGAUGGAUAGGGGUUCUGAGAGGAAGGUCCCCCACAUUGGUACUGAGACACGGACCAAACUCCUACGGGAGGCAGCAGUGAGGAAUAUUGGUCAAUGGGCGUAAGCCUGAACCAGCCAAGUCGCGUGAGGGAUGAAGGUUCUAUGGAUCGUAAACCUCUUUUAUAAGGGAAUGAAGUGUGGGACGUGUCCUAUUUUGUAUGUACCUUAUGAAUAAGGAUCGGCUAACUCCGUGCCAGCAGCCGCGGUAAUACGGAGGAUCCGAGCGUUAUCCGGAUUUAUUGGGUCUAAAGGGUGCGUAGGCGGCCUUUUAAGUCAGCGGUGAAAGUCUGUGGCUCAACCAUAGAAUUGCCGUUGAAACUGGGGGGCUUGAGUAUGUUUGAGGCAGGCGGAAUGCGUGGUGUAGCGGUGAAAUGCUUAGAUAUCACGCAGAACCCCGAUUGCGAAGGCAGCCUGCCAAGCCAUGACUGACGCUGAUGCACGAAAGCGUGGGGAUCAAACAGGAUUAGAUACCCUGGUAGUCCACGCAGUA
rnacentral:rRNA from 1 species